rnacentral:tRNA from 1 species
GCCAGAGUGGCGAAACUGGUAGACGCAGCGGACUCAAAAUCCGCCGGGGGCAACCCCAUGCCGGUUCGAGUCCGGCCUCUGGUA